rnacentral:misc_RNA from 1 species
GUCUUAAUUACUGAAUAUGUGACGCGAUUCUACUACACUCGACCUAAGGUGACUUUUCCGAUUGCUCUUUUGAACAACUUCAAGAUGGGUUUUACCUAUGGUCUGUUCAUUGAUGCCUUCAAACUUGCCAGCUGAAUUGAUUGCCACACUUUUGUAGCAGACAUCUUUCAUAUUGAGCCUCUCAUUAGGAGAUUCAGCUGUGCAAUUCAAUGCCAACUCCAAAAUAGAGGUCAGACAACUCAACUUUUUAUCAAA